GCAAGUCGAGCGAUGAGAUCACUUCGGUGAUGGAUUAGCGGCGAACGGGUGAGGAACACGUGAAGAAUCUGCCUUCAACUCUGGGAUAACUCCGGGAAACCGGGGCUAAUACCGGAUAUGAGCCUUGAUCGCAUGAUCGGGGCUGGAAAGUUUUUCGGUUGAAGAUGACUUCGCGGCCUAUCAGCUUGUUGGUGAGGUAAUGGCUCACCAAGGCGACGACGGGUAGCCGGCCUGAGAGGGCGACCGGCCACACUGGGACUGAGACACGGCCCAGACUCCUACGGGAGGCAGCAGUGGGGAAUAUUGGGCAAUGGACGAAAGUCUGACCCAGCGACGCCGCGUGCGGGAUGAAGGCCUUCGGGUUGUAAACCGCUUUCAGCAGGGAAUAAGCGCAAGUGAAGGUACCUGCAGAAGAAGCACCGGCUAACUAUGUGCCAGCAGCCGCGGUAAUACAUAGGGUGCAAGCGUUGUCCGGAAUUAUUGGGCGUAAAGAGCUCGUAGGUGGUUUGUUACGUCGGUUGUGAAAUUCAGGGGCUCAACCCCUGACUUGCAGCCGAUACGGGCAAGCUAGAGUUUGGUAGGGGAGACUGGAAUUCCUGGUGUAGCGGUGGAAUGCGCAGAUAUCAGGAGGAACACCGAUGGCGAAGGCAGGUCUCUGGGCCAAUACUGACACUGAGGAGCGAAAGCGUGGGGAGCGAACAGGAUUAGAUACCCUGGUAGUCCACGCCGUAAACGGUGGGCGCUAGUUGUGCGAACCUUCCACGGUUUGUGCGACGCAGCUAACGCAUUAAGCGCCCCGCCUGGGGAGUACGAUCGCAAGAUUAAAACUCAAAGGAAUUGACGGGGCCCCGCACAAGCAGCGGAGCAUGCAGCUUAAUUCGA
rnacentral:rRNA from 1 species